ACGAACGCUGGCGGCAUGCCUAACACAUGCAAGUCGAACGGACGUAGCAAUACGUGAGUGGCGGACGGGUGAGUAACGCGUGGGAACCUGCCCGGAAGUGAGGAAUAACCGAGGGAAACUUCGGCUAAUACCGCAUAUGCCCUGAGGGGCAAAGGCUUCGGCCGCUUCCGGAGGGGCCCGCGUCCGAUUAGCUAGUUGGUGGGGUAACGGCCUACCAAGGCAGUGAUCGGUAGCUGGUCUGAGAGGACGAUCAGCCACACUGGGACUGAGACACGGCCCAGACUCCUACGGGAGGCAGCAGUGGGGAAUAUUGGACAAUGGGGGAAACCCUGAUCCAGCGAUGCCGCGUGAGUGAUGAAGGCCUUCGGGUUGUAAAGCUCUUUCGCCCACGACGAUGAUGACGGUAGUGGGAGAAGAAGCCCCGGCUAACUCCGU
rnacentral:rRNA from 1 species